CUAGCAUAUCAAUAAGCGGAGGAAAAGAAACCAACAGGGAUUGCCCUAGUAACGGCGAGUGAAGCGGCAACAGCUCAAAUUUGAAAUCUGGCCCUCUUUGGGGGUCCGAGUUGUAAUUUGCAGAGGGUGCUUUGGCAUAGGCGGCGGUCUAAGUUCCUUGGAACAGGACAUCGCAGAGGGUGAGAAUCCCGUACGUGGGCGCCUGCCUUUGCCGUGUAAAGCCCCUUCGACGAGUCGAGUUGUUUGGGAAUGCAGCUCUAAAUGGGAGGUAAAUUUCUUCUAAAGCUAAAUACCGGCCAGAGACCGAUAGCGCACAAGUAGAGUGAUCGAAAGAUGAAAAGUACUUUGGAAAGAGAGUCAAACAGCACGUGAAAUUGUUGAAAGGGAAGCGCUUGCAGCCAGACUUGCCCGCAGUUGCUCACCCAGGCUUUUGCCCGGGGCACUCUUCUGCGGGCAGGCCAGCAUCAGUUUGGGCGGUUGGAUAAAGGCCUCUGUCACGUAUCUCCCCCCGGGGAGGCCUUAUAGGGGAGGCGCAAUGCAACCAGCCCGGACUGAGGUCCGCGCAUCUGCUAGGAUGCUGGCGUAAUGGCUGUAAGCGGCCCGUCUUGAAACACGGACCAAGGAGUCUAACAUCUAUGCGAGUGUUUGGGUGUCAAGCCCGGGCGCGCAAUGAAAGUGAACGGAGGUGGGAACCCUUCGGGGUGCACCAUCGACCGAUCCUGAAGUCUUCGGAUGGAUUUGAGUAAGAGCAUAGCUGUUGGGACCCGAAAGAUGGUGAACUAUGCUUGAAUAGGGUGAAGCCAGAGGAAACUCUGGUGGAGGCUCGCAGCGGUUCUGACGUGCAAAUCGAUCGUCAAAUUUGGGCAUAGGGGCGAAAGACUAAUCGAACCAUCUAGUAGCUGGUUCCUGCCGA
rnacentral:rRNA from 1 species